GCCGGCCAAGCUGGGAAAAAAGCCGGCAGCCUUCAAGGGGCUGCCGGCUUUUUCAUUUCCGGGCGUUGGCCGCGCCCGGCCUGCCC
rnacentral:tRNA from 1 species